AUGCCGGACUGGUCCCAGUCACUGCUGCACCACAUCCCUGGCACAGGAGCUCUGCCUGAGGCUGUUCCUGCCCGUGCUGAGCUGGGAGCUCGGGAUAACCCCCACAGGCAGGGCCAGAGCCCGAGGGUCCUUUGUAGCUCCCCAGAUGGGAUCCUUCAUCUCCUCCCUGUGUCCUGGGAGUGGGUGGGAUGGGACAUCCCCUCUCCCACCUGCCCAGGAGGUGCCUGUGGCUGUGACAGGGCUCCCGGGGACGGGGACAGGGACAUCAGAGGGGUCAGAGGGCAACAGACCUGUCCCAACACUGGCAAAAAGGGAUUUUCACUGGGAUUGUCUGAGCGCUGCUGCUCCCAGGGGGAUUUCUCAUCCUCUCUCCUUACCUGUGCCUGGCAGACUUCUGCUCCACCUCUGCACCCCCAGCACCCACAUCCAUCCCUCCAUCACCCAUCCGUCCCUCCCACAGCUGGCUCAGACACCCGGGGCUGGGGUCAAACAGCCUUGUCCCCUCCCCGUGCUCUCCGGCGGUGUCACAGAGGGACAAACCCCCUGGCAGGUGCCCCUGAGAGCCGCACCCCGUGCCCGGGGCAGCCCCUGCGCUCGGGGCCGGGGCUGAGCUGCCUUUUGUGGUGCUCGGGCCCCGGUGAUUGGGCGCUAUUUUGCUCCGGCUCCCCUCGGCAGCUGUUGCUGUUCUUUACCCGGGAGAGCCGGGGCCGCCCGGGGGCUGCAGCCGAGCAGGAGGCGGCGGCCGACCCCAGAUGCCAACGCUCCGGUGAGCAGCGACAGCCACGGGGACAGCGGUGGAGCCCAUGGAAUAGAGGAGCAGAGCCCCCCGCGCGGUGUCUCCGAGCAGGAGCCGGACAUGCCAGAGCCAGCCCCGCUCGGCGGGGACAGGAAAGCGGCGGAGAAGAAGCGGGUGGAGAAGGUGGGAGCCAAGGGCAGCGCUGCCGGGCCUCCAGUCCCCAGAACCCUCCCCGUGCAGAGCAAGGUGGAGCCGCCCAGCCUGGACCCUGCGGAGGAGCCGCUGCUCUGGGAAGGGCUCACCCUCAACAAGUGCAUCCUGGUGGCCUCCGUGGUCGCCCUGCUCAGCGUCACCUUCCAGGUGCUCCAAGCGCCAUGCUCCAAGGAGGGAAUCGCCCGCGGCCGGCAGGAACCUCCGCCCCCUCCCAUUCCCGAGGUCGUCAGCCCCAAGGUGGAGGAGAUCCCAGAGGUGGUGACGGCCCAGCCUGCGCCGCCGCCGCCGGAGAGCAGCGCGGUGGAGGAUGAUGGUGAUGACGAAGACGGUGACGAUGACAGCGAAGCUGACAGCAACCUG
rnacentral:lncRNA from 1 species